UGAAAAAUAAUAGAAAAAUAAUAGAAAAAAUAAUGCCAAAAAUAAUAGAAAAAAUAACGCCAAAAAUAAUAGAAAAAAUAAUGCCAAAAAUAAUAGAAAAAAUAAUGCCAAAAAUAAUAGAAAAAAUAAUACCAAAAAUAAUAGAAAAAUGGUCUAGAAAAAUAUGAGCCCGCGUUUUUGAGGGAAAAAUAUGGAAACCGCUGACCGGAAGUUGGGUGAGAUCGCGGGCCGAAAAAGUGGUCUAGAACCCUCAUUCCCUAUACUACUGAUUUUGC